rnacentral:rRNA from 1 species
AACGAACGCUGGCGGCAGGCUUAACACAUGCAAGUCGAGCGCCCCGCAAGGGGAGCGGCAGACGGGUGAGUAACGCGUGGGAAUCUACACAUUUCUACGGAAUAACGCAUGGAAACGUGUGCUAAUACCGUAUACGUCCUUCGGGAGAAAGAUUUAUCGGAGAUGGAUGAGCCCGCGUUGGAUUAGCUAGUUGGUGGGGUAAAGGCCUACCAAGGUGACGGUCCAUAGCUGGUCUGACAGGAUGAGCAGCCAAAAUGGGACUGAGACCCGGGCCAUACUCCUAGGGGAGGCAGCAGUGGGGAAUAUUGUACAAUGAACGCAAGCCUGAUCCAGCCAUGCCGCGUGAGUGAUGAAGCCCCUAGGGUUGUAAGGCUCUUUCACCGGUGAAGAUAAUGACGGUAACCGGAGAAGAAGCCCCGGCUAACUUCGUGCCAGCCGCCGCCGUAAUAC